UUUAACCAAAUGUUCUCUGAUUGUUCUGUAUUAUAGGCUCUUUCUUGAUACAGCGUGGUGCUGUAUCUGAGACAGACUGUCAUCCAUGUACCCCUGGAUUCUACUGUCCAGACUGGGGUCAGAGCUCUGUGGAGCUCCGCUGUCCUGAGGGCAGUUUCUGUCCGGCAGGUUCUGUAACAGGACGUCAACCCGGUAGGAUGUAAUACUGACGAGGCAGAAAUCCACAUUGUCCUCUGGGCAUCAGUUAAACUGGGGUACUGGUUGAACAGAGCACUGAGCGGGUUUCAUAAAUAGAGAGAGACGGUGUCUACGUCCUUCUGCCAUUUAUCUUUGUGACUAACCACAGCAUCUCUACAGGGUUGCCCUAGUGCUGUCUGAAUUAUUUAGUACUGUUGCCAUGAAAUGUCUAGACAUUGUCUAUUUAUAUACUGCCAGUCUCUUACCUUUAUGAUCUGUCUGUUCAGGCCGUCAAUGUACGUCUGGUCACGCGUGUCCGUAUGGCAGCAUCCAGCCUGCCAUCUGUCUGCCUGGUACUUAUCAGCCUCUGCCAUCCCAGCCUUCCUGCAAACCAUGCCCACCAGGUUUUUACUGUUUGGAGGGUUGCACCACCCCGCUUCCCUGCCCUUUGGGCACGGCAAGUAUGAUUGAGGGGUUGCAAUCUCAGCUGGAUUGCUCUCCAUGUCCUCCCGGAUUCUACUGUAACACUAGUGCACUAAUCAGCCCCACUGGACCCUGCUCUGCAGGUCAGUGCCACAGAAAUUCCCAUUACAGCCUGUUCUGCUGGUGUAUAACUUAAUUUUACAUCUUGUUCUCCCUCCAUAAAAGGCCAUUUCUGUUCGUCUGGAGCCACAGAGCCUGCCCCAGUCUCUCAGAUGUAUGGAGAUAUAUGUCCAGCAGGACAUUACUGCCCCGAGCAGAGCAGUGCUCCAUUACCCUGUCCUGUCGGUUUCAUUCUCCAGUUCAAAGGAGCCACUUCUUCUAAUGACUGCUCCCCUUGCCCUCCAAGCAGAUACUGCAUUGCACCAGGCUCCUCUCAGCCCUCAGGGUUUUGCGCUCCAGGUCACUAUUGCAUCGGUAGCACAGAUACUGCCACACCUCAGGCCUCACCGUCUCAGCAGACCUGUUUUUGUGACCUCAUACAUUCAUCCCACCUCCAAAUGUACGAUCUUUGCUUUCUGAAGCACAACAUAACCUGCUCAAUUCACAUUUCAGGUAAGACUCCUGGUAUGGUGCUAAACCAUUUAUAUGGUAACGGAUGA
ensembl:lncRNA